rnacentral:rRNA from 1 species
CAGCCGUAAACUAUGCGCGUUAGGUGUUGGGGUCCUUAGUGGGCGCCCAGUGCCGGAGAGAAGUUGUUAAGCCUGCUGCUUGGGGAGUAUGUCCGCAAGGAUGAAACUUAAAGGAAUUGGCGGGGGAGGCACCGCAACGGGAGGAGCGUGCGGUUCAAUUGGAUUCAACGCCGGACAACUCACCAGGAGCGACGGUUACAUGAAGGCCAGGCUGAUGACCUUGCCUGAUUUUUCCGAGAGGAGGUGCAUGGCGUAGUCGUGU